rnacentral:rRNA from 1 species
UACGGGGGGGGCAAGUGUUAUUCAGAAUAAUUGGGCGUAAAGGGUACGUAGGCGGUCAGAUCGGCUCAAGCCUAAGCCAAUAGGCUUAACCUAUGGACGGCCUUGUAGCAGUUCUGACUUUGAGUCGGAGAGGGAAGAGGUGGAAUUUCUAGUGGAGAGAUUAAAUUCAUAGAUAUUAGAAGGAAGGCCAGCGGCGAAGGCAACUCGUUUAGAUCCAGACUGACGCUAAGGUACGAAAGCGUGGGGAGCAAACGGGGAUUAAGAAACCCGUGAG